UACGGAGGGGGCUAGCGUUGUUCGGAAUUAUUGGGCGUAAAGCGCGUGUAGGCGGCUUGGUAAGUCUGCUCUGAAAGCCCGGGGCUCAACCCCGGGAGGCGGGUGGAUACUGCUGAGCUCGAGUCCGGAAGAGGCGAGUGGAAUUCCUGGUGUAGCGGUGAAAUGCGCAGAUAUCAGGAAGAACACCCGUGGCGAAGGCGGCUCUCUGGGACGUGACUGACGCUGAGACGCGAAAGCGUGGGGAGCGAACAGG
rnacentral:rRNA from 1 species